ACAUCUGCCCUGCUGCAGGACCGUGUGGUGGGACUCUGAUCCAGCGGGAGAGCUCCUCGCAAGCCUCUUUCCUAGGUGGGAGCCAAAAUGCUGGAAGCAGCUGUGUUCGGAGCUUACUUCAAUGUCAUGAUCAACCUCAAAGACAUAACGGAUGAGGAGUUCAGGCUUGCAAUGUCACAGAAGGUCUCUGGGCUCCUGGAGGAGGCAAAGCAAGGCUCGGCGCUCGUGCUGGUGCUGCUGGAGAAGCGGGUGGCCUGAGAGGAGCUCUGCAGUGGCAAAUACAGCUGGGAAACAUGA